rnacentral:rRNA from 1 species
UGGGGGACAACGUGUGGAAACGCACGCUAAUACCGCAUACGCCCUACGGGGGAAAGGAGGGGAUCUUCGGACCUUUCGCUAAUAGAUGAGCCUGCGUAGGAUUAGCUAGUUGGUAGGGUAAAGGCCUACCAAGGCGACGAUCCUUAGCUGUUCUGAGAGGAAGAUCAGCCACACUGGGACUGAGACACGGCCCAGACUCCUACGGGAGGCAGCAGUGGGGAAUAUUGGACAAUGGGCGAAAGCCUGAUCCAGCAAUACCGCGUGUGUGAAGAAGGCCUUAGGGUUGUAAAGCACUUUCAAUUGGGAGGAAAAAACAAGGGUCAAUACCCCUUGUCUUGACAUUACCUUUAGAAGAAGCACCGGCUAACUCCGUGCCAGCAGCCGCGGUAAUACGGAGGGUGCGAGCGUUAAUCGGAAUUACUGGGCGUAAAGAGUGCGUAGGCGGCUCGUUAAGUCAGAUGUGAAAGCCCUGGGCUCAACCUGGGAACUGCAUUUGAAACUGGCGAGCUAGAGUUGAGUAGAGGUAAGUGGAAUUUCAGGUGUAGCGGUGAAAUGCGUAGAUAUCUGAAGGAACACCAGUGGCGAAGGCGACUUACUGGACUCAAACUGACGCUGAGGUACGAAAGCGUGGGUAGCAAACAGGAUUAGAUACCCUGG